CACAAACUUGCUUAUUCCUAACUAAAAUAGUAAAUAGAGAUAAUAACAAACGGAUUAUUUGUAAAAUUAAAAUUUUUUUUGCGUUUUUGCUAAUGUAUGCGUUUAUAAACAGGAUGGUAGACCACACACUAUAAUAGUACCAACUAAUGAAUACACAGUAUGAAUAGUAUAGUCGGUUCGCUAAACUUAGUCUCAGACACAACUGGCUAGUGAUUUUAGUAAAUAAUUUUGACAAUUUGGUAAAAUUGGCAAAAAAAUAAUAACUAAAUAGUUAGUAAUUUUGGCAAAAUUGGCCAAAAACAAAAAAAAUUACCUACUAAAAUCACUAGCCAGUUGUGUCUAGGGAAACGACUAUACUAAUAAACAAUUUCUAAGCUGCUUUUUAUAAUAUUUUGUGAAUUCAUUAACCAUAUUUUUUAUUUAAAACUAAAAUUUGUUAAUAAUGCUCAGUAAUGCAUAUAUUUUGUAUUUUUAGCUUUCCAGAAGAUCCUGUGAAGAAGGCAUGAAGUAUUGAUCAGAUUUGUUAAUAGAGCAGUAUGUUCAAAACCAUGGACGUAUAAAUAAAGACGUCCAUGUUCAAAACAUUUUUUAGAAAAAGAUAUUGACAGAACUUCACUUUCAACUGUUCGUUUGAGAGACUGUGCUGUUCCAAUAGCUUAUAUCACACAGAAUCAGCUGAGAGAAGUGGUCUACAAAAAAACCAGGAAGGAAAUGGAAUAUGUGGCUAUGAAAGGCAAAAGAAAGGUUUACAAAGCAAAUGUGACACAUUUUUUAUAGGAAUAUCAGUAAAUUACAUUAAAAAAAUGUAUGAAAAGAUUUUUUGCAAUAAAAAUGUUUAUAUUUA